GCAAAUUUUUUCGGCCGUUCGUUGCCUCAUCAACGUCCAGGCGUUCAGCGAAGCAUCCUAUUCUUUUCUGUUCUUUCUGCGACGCCCACGAAGGUUCCAGACUGUAGAAGCCCCCAACCCCGCUUGGAGCUCCAUUUGCCCCACCACGGUGCCAGCAACUCCACCCCCUGCCCCCCCGCCGGCAGAUCCCCCACCCCGCCAGGAGCUCUGCCCAGGCCUACCACGGUGCCAGCAACUCCACCACCCCCUCCCUCGCCAUUGGCGGUUCCCCCACCCCGCUAGGAGCACCGCCCAGGCGGAUGACUUCACCUUCGAAGCCCCUGCCACGCAGCCAGUGUCAAGAUUACCCCCACCUACACCCCUCGCCAGAGGACCGUCCCCUUGAUGUCGGACGGCCAACGGAUUCACCUCCCACGCCCUCCACGAGCCUGAUAAAUCGUCGGCGCAAAUUUUUUCGGCCGUUCGUUGCCUCAUCAACGUCCAGGCGUUCAGCGAAGCAUCCUAUUCUUUUCUGUUCUUUCUGCGACGCCCACGAAGGUUCCAGACUGUAGAAGCCCCCAACCCCGCUUGGAGCUCCAUUUGCCCCACCACGGUGCCAGCAACUCCACCCCCUGCCCCCCCGCCGGCAGAUCCCCCACCCCGCCAGGAGCUCUGCCCAGGCCUACCACGGUGCCAGCAACUCCACCACCCCCUCCCUCGCCAUUGGCGGUUCCCCCACCCCGCUAGGAGCACCGCCCAGGCGGAUGACUUCACCUUCGAAGCCCCUGCCACGCAGCCAGUGUCAAGAUUACCCCCACCUACACCCCUCGCCAGAGGACCGUCCCCUUGAUGUCGGACGGCCAACGGAUUCACCUCCCACGCCCUCCACGAGCCUGAUAAAUCAAGAAUUUACUAGAAUUUCUACACGCCCAUGAAUGAUUUUAUUGUUGCUACUGAAUGAUGUAAUAGAUUGAGUAUACUGUUGUGUUUGCAGGGAUGCUAAAGGUCGCGGCAAGUGGCUCUACUGCCACUCCACUCUGAGGCGGUGCCAGCGUUGAUGACCACCUCUCGGCCUACUACUUCUUCUCCAGCAUGGGUCUAGUCCAAGUCGCGAUACGGGGUUUGGACAUUUUGGGCUAGGUUGUUCAGCAUGGGUCUAGUGAAUGAAGGCAUCGACAUGGAGGAGGGAAACCUGGAGAUAGGCAUAGCAAUUCUUUUGCAUGAUUAUUAGUUUUAUUUUAUUAAUCUAUGCUAGAUCUCAAAUACACGCAAUCCAAUCUUGAAGAUCUGGUUAAAAAAGUAUGCUGCUUGUACCAUAAACUGUGUGCGACGCAAAUUUCAGUAAGUGCAAUUUGUUGAUGUAUUGUGAUGGUAGACCGACCUUCCUUCUGCAGAGUGGAACCAAAGGUAUUUGUUGAGUUCUUUGGCAUUGCCAUAUAGUAGAUUUGACCGGGAAGCUUGCAGGUCUACUAUAUGUCCUGGUUUUCGUAUCUGCAUGUCUUCAUGUUCAAAAUGGUGAUUCGGUUUAUAUGAGAGUAUUGUCUUAGUGCUAGUGUGGAUAACAUCAAGAUGGUGUACCAUGUACGGUGAUGACUUUGCUGAACUUAGUACUUUCAAAUGUGUGACAAGGAAGGAAAGUAGCAAGCUGAAAAGGAAGAACCAAGAUAAAAUGUUUGAUGCAUAUAUCCUGCAUGGGUCUGCAAUACAAUCUACAACACACUAGAUUAUAUGUGAAGGUCAGAUUUUUAUCAUCUCAGAUUUGUUGGUUUCAAUAUUUUCUAGAGUCCCUAUGGGUUUCCAACUUCACUAACGAUGGAAUUGAUUAAAAUCCUUUCUGAGAAAUGAAUAGCCAAUAAAGUUCUCAUGGGAAGAGGGUAAGCAAUGGCCAAUGUUCAGGGAUUGGAUACAUAGUUGCAUUUACAUGUCAAUGUCAUCUUCACAUAGUAGAUAGAAUUGUACACAUUUUUUCAGUAAUAUUGGCACUGUAGACAUGGUCUGUAUUUAACGUUUUUGCUGACUUCUUAGUGAUUUGCUGAAAUAAUGACGCAUAACUAUGCUUAUAUCGAGAAGGGGAGAAAGGAUCAACCGUCAUCGUCUCCGUCGGCAACAUCGGCCCUGUUGACAGCCCGCGCUCUGUGUGCCCUCCUCCCCACGUGUUUGAUGGCCUCUGUUUUCUCUUCUCCCUCGCACUGCAGAGCUUAGUGGCGUGGUCCAACAACUUACUACAUAAUGGCGAUCAGCACCGGCAAAGCUUAAGUGUGAAGUGAGACAUAACAUGCAACAUCUGAUUAGAAUUUUCAUAUUUAGAUAUACUCACGAAUCACUAAGACAGAUUAUAUGCUUGUGGUCCCUUUUUCAGAAACAUAAAUGUUCCCUGUAAGGUAAGCUUAGUUGUUUAAUUUCUUAAAUUCAGGUAUCCUUUCUAUGUAUGAAUAAUAAACUAACAAUUACUCCAUAAUAACUGCAGGAAUGUCCACAGCAUAGCACAAUAUAAAUUGUUGAAGGAAAAAUACUAGGCAAAACAUCCCCCACAUAGUUAAUACCUCAUAAAUCUUCUGAUUUUAGGUUGCCAUCCCUUGCAUUUUAAAACAACUGCUUCACCUCAUCAGAAAUAAUAUAUGAUGAUCAAUGAUGACCCAAUUUGAUAUUAGCAACACAACUCACCCUAAUUACCGGAACAAACAAGCCAUGAUCUGUUUUAGUAAAAGUAUAUGCGUUGCAACUUAUAUUUAUAUUUGGAUGAUAAACAACUUAGAAAUAGUAUCAAGAUUAUAUAUAUCAUCAUAUCUUGUAUUUGUUCCUGUAAAAAAGAAGCAUCAAUAUUAUGUUAUAUCAAUACCUUUAUAUAUAUAUAAUAUCUCUUCUUUUUAUAUAGGCAUCUUUAGUAGAAUUGUAUAAAAAACGCGCGCAGGGCGCGCGUUAAGACACUAGUGCAUAUACUAUGCAAUAAGCCGAGAACUGUAUCUCAGUUGUGCGAUGGCAAAAAGGGGCAUGCGCGGGUGCUGAUUGAGGACGGAGAAGAGGGAGGAGCGUAGGCAGGAUGGAGUUUCGACUCUAGCAGACUAGCACAUGCAUCUUGAAAUCCAUUGUUUUCGUUUUCUUCUCACAUACAUGACACCGACAGAAUUGGCCACUGAACCAACAAUAUUUAAUGGACCAACAAUCUAAUCUAGCAGACUAGCUUAUGGUCCUCCCAUACUUUCAUAUCUAUACUACUCCCUCCGUUCUCAAAUAUUUGUCACCGGUUAAUUCAUUUUUGAACUAAAACACGAUAAAUAAAAAAGAACGGAGAGAGUACUCUAUUAAGAAUCUAGUGUGGGCACAUAGUGUUAUCACGACUUCAUUCCGGCGCUGUGCCCUGUGGGCCCCACACCCAGCACCCGUGCAUCGCUUUCUCAAUUACUGUUGUAUGAAACCCCCAACGCCGGUAGCUCGCUACUGUGUCUGCUCAGCACCCGACACCGCCUGCGCAGCUACCACACCACACUUGAACCCACGCCCUCUGCUUCAGCAAUUUAGGAAUAACCACUAGACCACAAGUAUCUUAGUGUUUAGAAAUAAACAAUAAUUAUAUUUGAAUAAAUAUCUCAAUACCUAUUUAUAUGAUAUAUACCAACUGUAGCAAAGCACGGAAAACUGGCUAGUAUAUAUCUAGGAUUCUAGGUCCUACCAAUGGUUAUUUAAGUUUUCAUUUAGUUUGUCUCCUAACUUAGGAGAUACAAUUCCACUUAAUAUAGGAUCACUUGUGGGGUUUCUAACGAGUUGAGGGCAUGUACGACCCACAUACAACAAGGUGCCGUUUGGUUCACGAAAUGUAACGUAAAUGGUAAUGGUAAUGAUUCGCACUCGAAUACCGGCGGUAACAAGUUUAAAUAAGUUGAUUUCCAUUUCUAGUGUGGUAUCAACUACAGUUAGAUUUAAACAAACAUAAUAUAAUGGUAUCGAUUACCUAUUACAUUACCAAUAUGUGAACCAAACGGCAUCCAAUUGUCUAUAUGUGUAUUGAAAAACAUGUACGUACAAUAUAAAUAACAAGUCAUAUAAUGGAUUGUAUGUUUAUACUGUCUUUAAAUUUUUUAAUUCAUGUGUAGAACAAGGGCCAAAGUAGCAUACAGUGAUUGUGUUACUGUCUCUUGCAUUGGAGCACGGGCCGAAGAUAUCUCUCCACAAAAGGACGACCUAUGUCUCUCUCCUCCUUAAUUAGCGUCCACGUUGGAUUUUUUCAUUUAAUUGCUGGUUACGUGGCUGUUUAUUAGAGACGACAUAUUUAAUGUCGUUGUAAGUGCCUUAAUUGAAAAAAUAUAGUAGACAAGCCCUUCACGGAGAGUCUGUCUCUACAUGAUUCUCUUAA